UUGAACGCUGGCGGCAGGCCUAACACAUGCAAGUCGAGCGGUAGCACAGAGAGCUUGCUCUCGGGUGACGAGCGGCGGACGGGUGAGUAAUGUCUGGGAAACUGCCUGAUGGAGGGGGAUAACUACUGGAAACGGUAGCUAAUACCGCAUAACGUCGCAAGACCAAAGUGGGGGACCUUCGGGCCUCAUGCCAUCAGAUGUGCCCAGAUGGGAUUAGCUAGUAGGUGGGGUAACGGCUCACCUAGGCGACGAUCCCUAGCUGGUCUGAGAGGAUGACCAGCCACACUGGAACUGAGACACGGUCCAGACUCCUACGGGAGGCAGCAGUGGGGAAUAUUGCACAAUGGGCGCAAGCCUGAUGCAGCCAUGCCGCGUGUGUGAAGAAGGCCUUCGGGUUGUAAAGCACUUUCAGCGGGGAGGAAGGCGAUAAGGUUAAUAACCUUGUCGAUUGACGUUACCCGCAGAAGAAGCACCGGCUAACUCCGUGCCAGCAGCCGCGGUAAUACGGAGGGUGCAAGCGUUAAUCGGAAUUACUGGGCGUAAAGCGCACGCAGGCGGUCUGUCAAGUCGGAUGUGAAAUCCCCGGGCUCAACCUGGGAACUGCAUUCGAAACUGGCAGGCUAGAGUCUUGUAGAGGGGGGUAGAAUUCCAGGUGUAGCGGUGAAAUGCGUAGAGAUCUGGAGGAAUACCGGUGGCGAAGGCGGCCCCCUGGACAAAGACUGACGCUCAGGUGCGAAAGCGUGGGGAGCAAACAGGAUUAGAUACCCUGGUAGUCCACGCCGUAAACGAUGUCGAUUUGGAGGUUGUGCCCUUGAGGCGUGGCUUCCGGAGCUAACGCGUUAAAUCGACCGCCUGGGGAGUACGGCCGCAAGGUUAAAACUCAAAUGAAUUGACGGGGGCCCGCACAAGCGGUGGAGCAUGUGGUUUAAUUCGAUGCAACGCGAAGAACCUUACCUGGUCUUGACAUCCACAGAACUUUCCAGAGAUGGAUUGGUGCCUUCGGGAACUGUGAGACAGGUGCUGCAUUGCUGUCGUCAGCUCGUGUUGUGAAAUGUUGGGUUAAGUCCCGCAACGAGCGCAACCCUUAUCCUUUGUUGCCAGCGGUUAGGCCGGGAACUCAAAGGAGACUGCCAGUGAUAAACUGGAGGAAGGUGGGGAUGACGUCAAGUCAUCAUGGCCCUUACGACCAGGGCUACACACGUGCUACAAUGGCAUAUACAAAGAGAAGCGACCUCGCGAGAGCAAGCGGACCUCAUAAAGUAUGUCGUAGUCCGGAUUGGAGUCUGCAACUCGACUCCAUGAAGUCGGAAUCGCUAGUAAUCGUAGAUCAGAAUGCUACGGUGAAUACGUUCCCGGGCCUUGUACACACCGCCCGUCACACCAUGGGAGUGGGUUGCAAAAGAAGUAGGUAGCUUAACCUUCGGGAGGGCGCUUACCACUUUGUGAUUCAUGACUGGGGUG
rnacentral:rRNA from 1 species